rnacentral:lncRNA from 1 species
ACUAGAACCUAGAAGGUUCUAGAGUUCUCGAGCUUAGAACAUUGGAGAAAGCAUGGUGAGAGAUGGACUGGAGAGCAUGGCAGAGACCAGCGUCUGACAACAACAGUCAGGGAAAGGCCCAGAGGAUCCACCACACGCUGCGAGGGAGGCCAAGUUCUUAAUGUUACCCAGCUGUGCAGCGGGGUUGGCCGGGGACCUGGCCUGGGCAACCAGAGGCUGGACCGUGAUUCAGAUGGGCUGGACGGCAGCGGGUGAGUCAGGGCCUCCGGCGCUGAACAGGACGCCUGACCACCGGCUCCCUGCGGGCAACGAGCGAGCUCCCUGGAUGCCCGGCCCGUAGCGGGUGCCCGGAUGUGCUGGGCAGCUGUUGGCCUGCCAUGCUCUCCGUGCCUUUUAUGUUGAAGCCCCUUGAGUUGACACCGGCCGUUUCCAACCCUCUGAGAGUUUCCCUCCCGGGUGUUCUCCACGUGUCCUCUCUGGACAGUCCUGAGUGGCAGUUGGCAGGCACGAUUCUGUCCAGGAGCUCAACGUUGCUUCCAGUGAAGCAAAUCCAGGCGAAGCUGCUCAGGAAGUUGGAUCCUCAAGGACGUUCAUCUCCCAAGAACCCUAGGACACCAGGGCCUGGCGAACAAGGCCAUCCUCUUCAGCAAGAUGGGCUCCUGGGCCCUCCAAGGUAGCUGGAUAAAGGGAGCAUAUCCAAGCCCCCCGACCAGGGCCUUCCUUCUGUUCCACUAGUUUUCUGGCCCCCAGGAUGUUUUACACAUCAUUUAAACUGUGGCCCAAGUCUGCCCCCUUUGCCUGGGUUCCCCUAAGCACAGAGAGCAGGCAGAGAUGCACCAGGAGAAAUAGGAGGGACAUAACCGCAGUCCAGACACUAGACCCGAGACAGCCUCUGCCCAGCCCCAAAGAGCCACUCUGCAGAUCCAGCUCCAGACGCGGAUCUCACACGGCCCUGCCUUCUGUCCCUCGGGGGUCCCCAGCCUGGUGGGCUCAGAGGCCCAGGGAAGUACAUGGGGGCAGGGACAGCAAGAGCCCAGAACACCUGAGAAUGAGAAGCUGACACUUAGGGUAGCAGGGGUUUGCUCAAUGGGCGACCCUGACAGAAAGGAUGGCAGCGAGCAGCAACCAGAGACACCCCAGUGUGUCCACCAGCUCCCCUUCCGCCCUCUCCUGUCACAGCCGCAGUCUCCCUGCUCACCGGGGUGGGCUUGGGGUCUCCCUCCUCCCUAGUGCCUGACCUCCUGGACCAAAGUGACAUGUCCAACGGGGAGUUCUUGACCCCUUGGAGCAAAGCCCGGCCCUUCCCCAGGGUUUAUCAGACAGGAGUGGGAGACCGAAGAGCCUGGCCUCUCCAUCGCAGAGCUCCAGGGCGUGUCUCCCCCAGUGGCUGCAGCAGAAGAAAAUAGAGCCACGGGGUGUGUAGAGAAAGAGACACACAAAGUUAAGAGAGAGACCUAGUGUUUCAGUGUGGCUGUCCUUUCGACUGUCUCCACUCUGCUCUUCCCGUAUUUGAGGCCUGGAGCCAACGAUGUCCCCCCCGGACUUAAUUCAGCUGAGAAAGUCUGGUUUCUGGCACCUGCAACUGAAGAUGCAGUUUCAUACACCACAGCCAGCCGGGAUCCGGUCCUUGAAGGAUGCGACCCUGUUGGCCUCCCCCAGGCACCCCAGACCCGGUGCUGACCCCUAGCACAGCACAGUCCUCACAUGUGGUGGGUCUGCUUAUCUCUCUCUGCCGCCCAAGGCAGGAAACUUAGAGGGCAGAGCCCGACCCUCUGGAGGGCCAGGGGAAUGUUUAUCGCUUUUACUAAUUAAUCUGGGUUUUGUGAUCGGCGUUGGCCCAACCCAGCAGGGAAAGUGGGGUCAGGGAUUCCAGAAGGCAGCAAUGCCCAAAAUCAGGGGGCUGGCAGCAUCGUGGUUCAGUGUCGAGUAGGCGAGUGGCCCGAGGGUGGGCCAGGGCUGACAGCACCAAGCAGCCCCGUGGGAACAGGUGAGAGCAGGACAGAUGAGGGGCAGGCACCCGCCAGCAAGAGGCAAACAAUACACGGAUGGUCAUUCAUUCGUUUAACAAGUAUUUUCGAGCACCUCCUACACGCAGGGACUGUUGGGGGCAUGGAGGCCACAGUGUUGAGUGAGACAGGUAGGGUCCUGCCCUCCUAAAGCUUACAUGGUGGUGGGGGAGGGACAGACAAUGAAAACACAGGCAAAUGAACUGAUGCUGUGGCAAAUGGUGACAGGGGCUCUGAAGACCCCUGUAGCCCCGCAGGAUGUGGGUUUAGCUGGGGGGUCAGGGCAGAACUCUGGGCGGUGACAUUUGAGCAAAGACCUGACAGAAGAGAGGGAGGGGCUGUGUCAUCCACUCCUUACUCCCACCUUGCCAGGGGGGAUUUCCUGGCCCCAUGAGACAGAUGGAGGAGCUGAUGGGGUGGGGGGAGGUUCUGAGAAGAGCCCAGGGUCCCACAGCUGGAGCAGAGGGAGGUGGGAUCCAACCCAUGCCUGGCUGAUCUCAAAACACGUGUUGCUCCCAAGCAAAGCUCAGGCCCUCCCGGAUGCUCAGACAGGGAGGCAGCCUCCCAGAGAAGGGACCAGGGGUAGAUCCGUGGUCAAGCAGGUGUCCAAGGGGCACUCCAGGCCCCCGACCCCCUGCUGCCUAGUCACCAGGAGCCUGAAGGGUCAGGUCAUGCAGGAGCAGAGGCAGCCCCUGCUCCAUUGGUGGCUCCAUCUUAGCGCCCGCCCUCGUCCCUCUGCUGAGGAUGAUGCCUGGAGCUCGAGUCAGACGUCAGAAGUGGUGGGAGUCCCUACCUCUCUGGGGACUCAGAAUCUGUGAUGUGCAAGGAGCGCACCCUUUGCUCUGCCCUCGCCUCGCCUGCGUGAACACGCACAGGAGAUUCUAGCCACUGCUUCUCCUUGAGUCAGGGAACAGAGAAGAGGCGAGUUUCUGGAGCUGAGCGGGUGUCUCAGCCUUGAGAAGAGCAGGAAGGAGGCCCUGGGAGGGGAAAGCCACAGGGCAGAGCUGACCCUGCCUCUGCAGGCGGAGGGUCCCAGAUGGGAGCCCAGAUGACUGACUGAAGCCUCUCGAUGCCCGGCUUGCGAGUGCAGGGCGUGGAGGGGCGGUGCAUGCCUCACACACUGGGAACAGGUGGGGGUGGUGGCACUGGGAAACACUGAAAUGUCAGCUCAGCUUCUCCAUGGGUCUGAGCGCAGCUCUCUUUGGCCCCUGUCAUCCAGUGAACUGGUGUGGGACAGACGUGCAGCCAAUUUGGUGAAAUCUGGAAGCUGAAAUUGGCCACCCCUCCUCACAUCAGGUGGACCCAGUCACUGGGGAGACCGGGCAGUGAAACCCGGGUACGACAAGCACAGGACAGACCCCAGCACGGCCCUAGACCCCACCACGCACCCGCUGGCAAGUCAUUUCUGAGACCUCUUCCUUUCAUCCAGAGAUAGUAUGAUCCUAUGGGGCCUGGCUGGGCUGCCCUGGAGCUCACAGGGGACACUGGCUGAGAGUCCUCCACCGUGUGUAACACCCGGAGCAAAGGCAAGGGAUUCUCCUGGUUAAAUACACUCGGGGUGGAGCCAAGCUUCCUACAGAUCUCCUGCACACAUGGAAGGCUGGUGCCCACAUGGAAGGCUGGUGCCCACACAGAAGGCUGGUGCACACACGGAAGGCUGGUGCACACACAGAGGGCUGAUGCACACACGGAAGGCUGGCGCACACACGGAGGGCUGGCACACACACGGAAGGCUGGCGCACACACGGAGGGCUGGCACACACACAGAAGGCUGGCGCACACACGGACGGCUGGCUUCUCUUCCACCUGGACGCCUGGGAAAUGCUGACCCUGGAAUGAAAGGUGAUUCUCUGAUGUGGACCCAGAGGAGGGCUGGCUCUGCAAGGGUCUCCACCUGUGUCACAGCCCACAGAGCCCCAGAUCCGGUCAGGACUGGGGACAUCACUGGGGAAGGCAAAGACCCCAGUGAGACAGCAGCCUGUGCCCUGCAGGAAUGCCCAGUGGGCGCAGGGGGCGCCUGCCUGCGGGUCCUGGCUCUGGCGACCUUGGGGAAGCCGCCUCUCCUCCCUGGCUCUGGUUUGUCCACCUCUCCUGGGAGCAUGGGACAGACCCAGGCCCAGACAGCUAAUGUCAGGGGUGAAGAGGACGCGGGGUGUGAGACGAUGGGAGUCAGGCUGGCGAGCACGCCGCCCUUAUAUAAAGGGGCCAGUGGUUCUGCUUCAGCUUCUCCCUGCUGGGCAGACACGCAGGGCCAACAGUACCAACACUUUUUCAAAAGAAGCCUGAAAUUCAGAUUUUUAUGUGAUGCCUCCAACUUUUAAAGAUUGACAACAAAGUCUGUUUUUUUGUUUUUUG